CCUACGGGUGGCAGCAGUGAGGAAUAUUGGUCAAUGGACGAGAGUCUGAACCAGCCAAGUAGCGUGAAGGAUGACUGCCCUAUGGGUUGUAAACUUCUUUUAUAUGGGAAUAAAACGUUCCACGUGUGGGAUUUUGUAUGUACCAUAUGAAUAAGGAUCGGCUAACUCCGUGCCAGCAGCCGCGGUAAUACGGAGGAUCCGAGCGUUAUCCGGAUUUAUUGGGUUUAAAGGGAGCGUAGGUGGAUUGUUAAGUCAGUUGUGAAAGUUUGCGGCUCAACCGUAAAAUUGCAGUUGAAACUGGCAGUCUUGAGUACAGUAGAGGUUGGCGGAAUUCGGGGUGUAGCGGUGAAAUGCUUAGAUAGCACGAAGAACUCCGAUUGCGAAGGCAGUUCACUGGACUGCAACUGACACUGAGGCUCGAAAGUGUGGGUAUCAAACAGGAUUAGAUACCCCGGUAGUC
rnacentral:rRNA from 1 species